CGGUACUCAUUCGGAUUGAAGGCUGAAAUUCGCCUUCAUGAAGCUGGAAUUGCUAGUAAUGGCAGGUCAGCAUACUGCCGUGAAUACGUUCCCGGGCCUUGUACACACCGCCCGUCAAGCCAUGAAAGCCGGGGGUACCUGAAGUGCGUAACCGCGAGGAGCGCCCUAGGGUAAAACUGGUGAUUGGGGCUAAGUCGUAACAAGGUAAC
rnacentral:rRNA from 1 species